rnacentral:rRNA from 1 species
GACGAACGCUGGCGGCGUGCCUAAUACAUGCAAGUCGAACGCACUCUCGUUUAGAUUGAAGGAGUUUGCUCCUGAUUGAUAAACAUUUGAGUGAGUGGCGGACGGGUGAGUAACACGUGGGUAACCUGCCCUAAAGUGGGGGAUAACAUUUGGAGACAGAUGCUAAUACCGCAUAAAACCUAACACCGCAUGGUGUAGGGUUGAAAGAUGGUUUCGGCUAUCACUUUAGGAUGGACCCGCGGUGCAUUAGUUAGUUGGUGAGGUAAAGGCUCACCAAGACCGUGAUGCAUAGCCGACCUGAGAGGGUAAUCGGCCACACUGGGACUGAGACACGGCCCAGACUCCUACGGGAGGCAGCAGUAGGGAAUCUUCCACAAUGGACGAAAGUCUGAUGGAGCAACGCCGCGUGAGUGAAGAAGGUUUUCGGAUCGUAAAACUCUGUUGUUGGAGAAGAAUGUAUCUGAUAGUAACUGAUCAGGUAGUGACGGUAUCCAACCAGAAAGCCACGGCUAACUACGUG